GUGGGGAAUAUUGGACAAUGGGCGAAAGCCUGAUCCAGCCAUGCCGCGUGUGUGAAGAAGGUCUUCGGAUUGUAAAGCACUUUAAGCUGGGAGGAAGGGCAGUAAGUUAAUACCUUGCUGUUUUGACGUUACCGACAGAAUAAGCACCGGCUAACUUCGUGCCAGCAGCCGCGGUAAUACGAAGGGUGCAAGCGUUAAUCGGAAUUACUGGUCGUAAAGCGCGCGUAGGUGGUUCAGCAAGUUGGAGGUGAAAUCCCCGUGCUCAACCUGGGAACUGCCUCCAAAACUACUGGGCUAGAGUACGGUAGAGGGUGGUGGAAUUUCCUGUGUAGCGGUGAAAUGCGUAGAUAUAGGAAGGAACACCAGUGGCGAAGGCGACCACCUGGACUGAUACUGACACUGAGGUGCGAAAGCGUGGGGAGCAAACAGGAUUAGAAACCCCUGUAGUCC
rnacentral:rRNA from 1 species